rnacentral:rRNA from 1 species
AUUAAAGUUGUUGCGGUUAAAAAGCUCGUAGUCGAAUUUGUGUCCCGCGCCGCCGGUUCAUCGUACGCGGUGUUAACUGGCGUGUCGCGGGACGUCCUGCCGGUGGGCCUAAGUCCGCAAGGACGUCGGCCCGACCCAAUCCCGCCGCGGUGCUCUUCAUUGAGUGUCGAGGUGGGCCGGCACGUUUACUUUGAACAAAUUAGAGUGCUUAAAGCAGGCUAAAACUUCGCCUGAAUACUGUGUGCAUGGAAUAAUGGAAUAGGACCUCGGUUCUAUUUUGUUGGUUUUCGGAACCCCGAGGUAAUGAUUAAUAGGAACGGAUGGGGGCAUUCGUAUUGCGACGUUAGAGGUGAAAUUCUUGGAUCGUCGCAAGACGCACAUAAUCGAAAGCAUU